rnacentral:tRNA from 1 species
GCGCUGCUAGCUCAGUUGGUAGAGCACCUGACUCUUAAUCAGGGUGUCCAGGGUUCGAGCCCCUGGCAGCGCA